GGCUCUUUUGGGUCUUGUAAUUGGAAUGAGUACAAUUUAAAUCUCUUAACGAGGAACAAUUGGAGGGCAAGUCUGGUGCCAGCAGCCGCGGUAAUUCCAGCUCCAAUAGCGUAUAUUAAAGUUGUUGUGGUUAAAAAGCUCGUAGUUGAACCUUGGGCCUGGCUGGCCGGUCCGCCUCACCGCGUGUACUGGUCCGGCCGGGCCUUUCCCUCUGUGGAACCUCAUGCCCUUCACUGGGUGUGGCGGGGAAACAGGACUUUUACUUUGAAAAAAUUAGAGUGCUCCAGGCAGGCCUAUGCUCGAAUACAUUAGCAUGGAAUAAUAAAAUAGGACGUGUGGUUCUAUUUUGUUGGUUUCUAGGACCGCCGUAAUGAUUAAUAGGGACAGUCGGGGGCAUCAGUAUUCAAUUGUCAGAGGUGAAAUUCUUGGAUUUAUUGAAGACUAACUACUGCGAAAGCAUUUUGCCAAGGAUGUUUUCAAUUAAUCAGGAACGAAAGUUAGGGGAUCGAAGACGAUCAGAUACCGUCGUAGUCUUAACCAUAAACUAUGCCGACUAGGGAUCGGACGAUGUUAUUUUUUGACGCGUUCGGCACCUUACGAGAAAUCAAAGUGCUUGGGCUCCAGGGGGAGUAUGGUCGCAAGGCUGAAACUUAAAGAAAUUGACGGAAGGGCACCACCAGGGGUGGAGCCUGCGGCUUAAUUUGACUCAACACGGGGAAACUCACCAGGUCCAGACACAAUGAGGAUUGACAGAUUGAGAGCUCUUUCUUGAUUUUGUGGGUGGUGGUGCAUGGCCGUUCUUAGUUGGUGGAGUGAUUUGUCUGCUUAAUUGCGAUAACGAACGAGACCUUAACCUGCUAAAUAGCCUGUAUUGCUUUGGCAGUACACCGGCUUCUUAGAGGGACUAUCGGCUCAAGCCGAUGGAAGUUUGAGGCAAUAACAGGU
rnacentral:rRNA from 1 species